rnacentral:rRNA from 1 species
CGCGUGAGGAACCUGCCUUGAAGAGGGGGACAACAGUUGGAAACGACUGCUAAUACCGCAUGAAGCAUAGGGGUCGCAUGAUUCUUAUGCCAAAGAUUUAUCGCUUCAAGAUGGCCUCGCGUCUGAUUAGCUGGUUGGCGGGGUAACGGCCCACCAAGGCGACGAUCAGUAGCCGGACUGAGAGGUUGAACGGCCACAUUGGGACUGAGAUACGGCCCAG